GACGAACGCUGGCGGCGUGCCUAAUACAUGCAAGUCGAACGGAAAGGCCCUGUUCUUGCGGGGUGCUCGCGUGGCGAAAGCGUGAGUAUCACGCGUGUAUCCUGUCCUCGACUUUGGGAUAUCUCCAGGAAACUGGGGCUCAUAACCGAUAGGAGCCCCUGCUGCACGGUGGGGGUUGGAAAGAUUAGGCGGUUGGGGAUGGUCUCGCGGCUUACCAGCUUGUUGGUGGGGUAGUGGCUUACCAAGGCUUUGCCUGGUAGCCGGCCUGAGAAGGUGGCCGGCGACAUUGGGACUGAGAUACGGCCCAGACUGCAACGGGAGGCAAUGGUGGGGAGUAUUACACAGUAGGCGGAAGCCUGAGGCAGCGGCGCCGCGUGCGGGAUGACGGCCUUCGGGUGAUGAACCACUGUCGCCUGUGACGAAACGUGAGUGACGGUAAUGAGUAAAAAAGCACCGGCUAACUACGUG
rnacentral:rRNA from 1 species